CAAUAGCGUAUAUUAAAGUUGUUGCAGUUAAAAAGCUCGUAGUUGGAUUUCUGGUUGAAGCGACCGGUCGGGCGUUGAUUCGUCUGCACUGGAGUCGGUUUUGGCCAUCCUCUAGGAAAGUGCGUCUGGUAUUAAGUUGUCGGGCGUAUGAUCCUGGUCUUUUACUGUGAAAAAAUUAGAGUGUUUAAAGCAGGCCUUCGCCUUGAAUACAUUAGCAUGGAAUAAUAAGAUAGGACUUUGGUCUAUUUUGUUGGUUUGCAGACCGAAGUAAUGAUUAAUAGGGACAGUUGGGGGUAUUUAUAUUCCGAUGUCAGAGGUGAAAUUCUUAGAUUUUCGGAAGAUAAACUUAUGCGAAAGCAUUUACCAAGGAUGUUUUCAUUAA
rnacentral:rRNA from 1 species